rnacentral:rRNA from 1 species
AGUAAAAGUCGUAACAAGGUCUCCGUUGGUGAACCAGCGGAGGGAUCAUUACAGAGUUGCAAAACUCCCUAAACCAUUGUGAACCUACCUUCAACCGUUGCUUCGGCGGGUUGGCACCGGGUCUCCCGGCGCCCCCGGCCCCCUCGCGGGGCGGCCCGCCGGAGGUACCUAACUCUUGAACAUUGUAUGGCCUCUCUGAGUCUUCUGUACUGAAUAAGUCAAAACUUUCAACAACGGAUCUCUUGGUUCUGGCAUCGAUGAAGAACGCAGCGAAAUGCGAUAAGUAAUGUGAAUUGCAGAAUUCAGUGAAUCAUCGAAUCUUUGAACGCACAUUGCGCCCAUUAGUAUUCUAGUGGGCAUGCCUGUUCGAGCGUCACUUCAACCCUUAAGCCCCUGUUGCUUAGCGUUGGGAAUCUAGGUCUCCAGGGCCUAGUUCCCCAAAGUCAUCGGCGGAGUCGGAGCGUACUCUCAGCGUAGUAAUACCAUUCUCGCUUUUGCAGUAGCCCCGGCGGCUUGCCGUAAAACCCCUAUAUCUUUAGUGGUUGACCUCGAAUCAGGUAGGAAUACCCGCUGAACUUAAGCAUAUCAAUAAGCGGAGGAAAAGAAACCAACAGGGAUUGCCCCAGUAACG